UUCGCUAGGUCCCCUCUGCGCCGCCAUGCGCGUGAGAUGCUCGUCACCUGUUUCCGCGCGCCCCACCGGAGAGCACCUGCCGGCCGCCGACGACGAGGGCCACGCCGGCGAUCUCCUCUCAGCCCAUCUGCCUCCUCUUUCCUCUCCAUUAUUUUCUUCUCUCUCCGCCUCUUGUUCAUUCGUGACCGCCCGAGCUCGCCCAGAUCCGGUCCGUCACCGGUCGUCCGUGGCGCGAGCGCCGGGCCUCCUCCUCAGUCUCCUCGUUCUGCGCCGCCCCUAUUGCACUGCGCACACGCGCUCCGGAGCCAUGGCCACCAUUUGUCGAGCCGCGGGAUCGACGCCCGACCGGCGCCGCGACCGGCCUCUUGCGCAGCUCCCGGCCGCCGUCCCCUGUGCCUCAUCCCGUGUCUCCCCACCUCGCCUGUGCAGCACCGUGGCUGCACAUCUCCAGCGCCAUCUGCUACAGCCCUGCGGUCAACCGCCUGGACGCCAUGGGCAGCGGCCAUGGACCAGUUCGACAAGACCAUGGUGCUUGCGGGCGGAAUGCCCCUCGCCGCCGGCACUAUGACAAUACCCUCUGAAGAUGUGGGAGUCCAUGGACACUCUCGUGUGGCACCUGUGCAUUGCCUUUGAGGAGCACGAUGACUACCUGGAGGCCAAGCCGUUCGGUGUGACCGUCAUGCCCGUACUUUCCUGCCUCCUCCCUGUCCUCCCCUCUUACUCUCAAACUCGAGCACCAACUCGACGGCAAGCACCAAGCAGCAGCUCAGCCAAAGCCCGAAAUACAUUGAACGGACAACAAGUGCUGAACCGGUUCACGGACUAGCCUGAUUGAUUCAAUCCCCAUGUGCUUGUAUCAAUGCCUGCAAGGGAGCAAGCGUACUGGAGGGAUGGUUGGACGGAGAGUAAUUUGCUACAAAGCUUUAUUAUUUAUGGUUAUUUCCUGAAUCCCUGAUAUAAUAUACAAUGCAUUAUGUAGAAACCAAAAUGAUGUUCAUAGAGAUCCGUUCUUACCGCGUUUAUGACAUUCAUUUCUGAUUUGAGAAAAUUGCUCAGAAUUAGGUGAAUAUCAUUUAUGCUUGUGUCAUCUCUUUCAUUUUAUGGUUUAGCACCAGUCGCCAACUAUGGUUACCGUGUGCGGCUUGAAUCAAAUGGCAUGUGAUUGAGCAAAUGAACGAAAUAUAGGUGAAACAUUUAUUUUUUAGAAGAGAUGGGUGCUACGUAUUUCCAUUCAAGUGUUCCCUUUAAUUUUUCAUAGUUUACAUUGAGACACAGGAAUUGCUUAAAGCAUGGAUUUGACUGCAGUGUUGCUGGCCGGCAUCUCCACCAUUCAUCUUGUCAUUGACAGAAACCCCAUCUUGUCACUGAUAGAACCCCAGGCUCUUCCACCUACAGCAAACAAAUAAAAGGACUUGAUUUAUGGUCUUGUAAAUUGGUUGUAUCCUCGAGUCAGGGUUGAUAUAUGUCCUUGCAUGAGCAAGUUGACGUAUCUACAUGGAAGGUUACUACAGCACUACACUUAUCUUGCAGACGUUUUUCUUUUACUGAAAAUAGUAGGUGAGUGUUAAUCUUUUGCAGGUUCUGUAUUUGACACUAUUUUGUAUGUUUAAAGGAUAAAAUUUUAUGGCUCUUUUCACUUCAGCAAGUGAACAACUUGGAUCACUUAUGAUAUUCGUUGUGCUAUACUUCUAACUGAAAUAUGUAGUGCAGCGCAUGUUACACUAUCUGCUUGUCCAGAAACUGGAACAGCCAGCCGAUGUUCGGUAGUGGAGUAUCCUUAUAUUUAUGUUGAUAGUUGUCGAGGAUUUGUUGGGUGUCACCUAAAGGACACUUCCUAUGGCCCUGUUGCAACGCACGUGCUCUUUUGCUCUGGUUGAUGGAGAAGUUGCAGUAGGCUGAAGACAUCAUCAAGGCCGAGGACCAGGAGAUGAAACAGUGAGUGACAGAGGGUGUCGGUGCAUGAUGUGGCAGCUGUGCAGUCGACCAACGAGUGUUGGUUCUCAUACCUUCAGGUUACGUAGAGAAACUACACAUAUCUGCACAAUGUACUAAUCGUGCAGUGUGCUUUGAUGUAGAGUGGUGUUUUCCAUGUUGUUGGCAUAGGAGUACUGAUCAAUGUGAGCUUCAGUUACAAUGGCAACAUAUGAUCGAAUGCCCAUGUAUCAUAAUUUAUGGUGUACCUGACAUUCGGAGCCUAUGUCCAAUACUUUUAGCUGUGUAUUCUGAUCUGUGAUCAAAAUUUGUAAUAUGGGCAGAUGGAGCUAAUGAUAUAUUCACUCACAAGGUAAGUAGUUGAUAGAAUCAUGUACAUGUGGGAAGAUCAGGUUUUCCUUUCUAAAUAAUCAUUUAUAUGUUACUAGCGUACA